CACCUUUCUGAGGGCUCGGGCUGGUGGCUUGUGGGCCGCCGCGACAGUUUAUCUGCUGGCACAAACUGGGGGAAACACUUCUUUCCUACACCAGAUGUUUCCUGAAGUAUGGAGUAGGCACCACUAACAUAACACUUGAUACUCUAUUCCGGUACUACUAGCAAGUUUCCUGAUGUGCUCCCUCGUCAGACAGAGUUCCCCUCACAGUGGACAGAAGGUUGCAGUCUCCUGAGACUUCGUGCUGCCAAGACUGCAAGUCUGGGGGCCAGGAGGAGACCUCUCACCCCUGGCAUGUGAAGGAAAGCCCCAGUCCCCACCUGUGAAAUGAAGAAAAUAGAUCAAGGUUGGAACUCUUUCUUGGACCAUGGCUUAUGCUGUGUCAGAAGGGCAGUGGACACCAGGAGGAGGAAAUGUUCCCAGAGAUGCCUUCGCCUGCUGGCCCUGGGAGGACACCUGGGAAGAUACUUGGAAAGAUACCUGCAGCAUCACAGAUCCUGGUCACCACCACGGGGGUUAGCCUCUUCUGCAGGCUGGGACAUCGUUAACAGGUCACAUUCUUUUCAUCAGUGAACAUUAAUUGAGUGCCUACUUGCCAAUUCCAGUAAGUGCGAAGAACAUCAAGGCAGCCCCUGCCCCCCAGGCACUGCAGAGACAGUGAAGGAGGUCCUCAAGGCCCCAGCCACUGUGCAGCCCGUGUCCUGGUCACUGUGAAGAGCUGCCUCUGGUCCACGGGGAUGGUGCUGAGAUGUUGCCCCCCAAAGCUAACUGCGCUUCUGUAAUGGACUUGUUCGCAGUUUCUACCCUGUCAUGGUCUCCCUGAGCUCUGCCCUGGGCAGCACACACAGUGUUGGUCUUCUGUCCUGGUGGAGUGGUUCUGCUCGGCAUGGGAGAGGACAGGAAACACAUCUCUAGUUCUCGAGGUUGUGUGUCGUGCGGAGCCAAAGUGAGCCGUUGACAUGCGUGGCUUGAUGACCCAGGGUCAGAAGGAGCAGAUGACCCUCCCAAAGCAUCAUCAGGUCAGUGGCAGCCAGACACUGCGUGGCAGGCCUGCGUCAGUCACUCACCUCAUCUCGUCACGGGGCCUCCCAUCCCCUCACGUCGGCACCAGGAGAGGAUGAGCAGUGCACAGCAGGGUUUUCAAGAGACAACAUUCACACAUAUGUGAG